rnacentral:rRNA from 1 species
GACGAGGGGUCCAAGCGUUGUUCGGAAUUAUUGGGCGUAAAGCGGGUGUAGGUGGCUCUAUAAGUCAGGAGUGAAAGCCCCGUGCUUAACACGGGAAGUGCUUUUGAUACUGCAGAGCUUGAAUGUGGGAGAGGAUCGUGGAAUUCCAGGUGUAGUGGUGAAAUACGUAGAUAUCUGGAGGAACACCGGUGGCGAAGGCGGGCCUGCUGGGGUAGAGCUGACACUGAGGCGCGAC